rnacentral:rRNA from 1 species
GUGUCAGCCGCCGCGGUAAAACGUAGGACGCAAGCGUUAUCCGGAGUUACUGGGCGUAAAGGGCGGGUAGGCGGGGUCUCAAGUGGGCUGUGAAAGCGCCCGGCUUAACCGGGCGAGGCCAGUCCAAACUGAGGCUCUGGAGGGCAGCAGAGGUGCGUGGAAUUCCGGGUGGAGUGGUGAAAUGCGUAGAGAUCCGGAGGAACACCAGAGGCGAAGGCGGCGCACUGGGCUGUACCUGACGCUGAACCGCGACAGCCAGGGGAGCGAACGGGAUUAGAAACCCCCGUAGUCC